rnacentral:rRNA from 1 species
AUUGAACGCUAGCGGCAUGCUUUACACAUGCAAGUCGAACGGUAACAGGCCGCAAGGUGCUGACGAGUGGCGAACGGGUGAGUAAUGCAUCGGAACGUGCCCAGUCGUGGGGGAUAACGCAGCGAAAGCUGCGCCAAUACCGCAUACGAUCUAUGGAUGAAAGCGGGGGACCGUCAGGCCUCGCGCGAUUGGAGCGGCCGAUGUCAGAUUAGGUAGUUGGGGAGGUAAAGGCUCACCAAGCCAACGAUCUGUAGCUGGUCUGAGAGGACGACCAGCCACACUGGGACUGAGACACGGCCCAGACUCCUACGGGAGGCAGCAGUGGGGAAUUUUGGACAAUGGGCGCAAGCCUGAUCCAGCAAUGCCGCGUGCAGGAAGAAGGCCUUCGGGUUGUAAACUGCUUUUGUACGGAACGAAACGGCUCUCACUAAUACUGGGGGCUAAUGACGGUACCGUAAGAAUAAGCACCGGCUAACUACGUGCCAGCAGCCGCCGUAAUAC